rnacentral:rRNA from 1 species
GACGUAGGGCGCGAGCGUUUGUCCGGAUUUAUUGGGCGUAAAGAGCUCGUAGGCGGCUUGUCGCGUCGACUGUGAAAAACCCGUGGCUCAACCAUGUGGUCUGCAGUCGAUACGGGCAGGCUAGAAUUCGGUAGGGGAGACUGGAAUUCCUGGUGUAGCGGUGAAAUGCGCAGAUAUCAGGAGGAACACCGGUGGCGAAGGCGGGUCUCUGGGCCGAUAUUGACGCUGAGGAGCGAAAGCGUGGGGAGCGAACAGG